rnacentral:rRNA from 1 species
AGAGUUUGAUCAUGGCUCAGAGCGAACGCUGGCGGCAGGCUUAACACAUGCAAGUCGAGCGGGCGUAGCAAUACGUCAGCGGCAGACGGGUGAGUAACGCGUGGGAACGUACCUUUUGGUUCGGAACAACACAGGGAAACUUGUGCUAAUACCGGAUAAGCCCUUACGGGGAAAGAUUUAUCGCCGAAAGAUCGGCCCGCGUCUGAUUAGCUAGUUGGUGAGGUAACGGCUCACCAAGGCGACGAUCAGUAGCUGGUCUGAGAGGAUGAUCAGCCACAUUGGGACUGAGACACGGCCCAAACUCCUACGGGAGGCAGCAGUGGGGAAUAUUGGACAAUGGGCGCAAGCCUGAUCCAGCCAUGCCGCGUGAGUGAUGAAGGCCCUAGGGUUGUAAAGCUCUUUUGUGCGGGAAGAUAAUGACGGUACCGCAAGAAUAAGCCCCGGCUAACUUCGUGCCAGCAGCCGCGGUAAUACGAAGGGGGCUAGCGUUGCUCGGAAUCACUGGGCGUAAAGGGUGCGUAGGCGGGUCUUUAAGUCAGGGGUGAAAUCCUGGAGCUCAACUCCAGAACUGCCUUUGAUACUGAAGAUCUUGAGUUCGGGAGAGGUGAGUGGAACUGCGAGUGUAGAGGUGAAAUUCGUAGAUAUUCGCAAGAACACCAGUGGCGAAGGCGGCUCACUGGCCCGAUACUGACGCUGAGGCACGAAAGCGUGGGGAGCAAACAGGAUUAGAUACCCCGGUAGUCC